CGUGGAUCGGAUCGGUAACUGCUGAAGAAACGGAAAUCGAAUCAGCCAACGAAACUGAAAACGGUGUCUUGGAUUUGUUAAGAAGUUGCCGUUGAGUUCGUCUCGUACAAAUCUUCACGUGCAUUCUGAAGCCCGCAAAAGGAUUAACUACAAAGAGCUGCAUAGGCAGUAAAAAAGACUUAAACGAAGAAGAAGCAUCUAUCUUCACAUAUGGCCACCCGAGUCCACCCUCCUCUUCUUCUCUUCUCUCCAGCGUCCGAGGCACAAGGCACUGAUGGCUAGCGCGAAUCGUGCGGAAGACUGACGAGCGCGCUGAAGAAAGUAUGAAAUUAUUUUGCAACAUUUAUUCAUCCCCGAUCCCCGAUCAAACCCCGACUGUAGAAGCUGUGCUGUGCGAUCCACUGCUGUUGUGCAUCGGUUCCAGCUAAACAUCUAAACUCGGCGAAGUAGAGGCACACAUACCGACAACAAUUUCAUCAAAAGCAUCGACUAAAUUUUAAUUUAAGUAUUUGUUUUAAGCUUUCUUUGAUAAAUUUUCAUUUUGUUUCGUUUAAUUAUACUGAUCUUAAAUUUCUUUUUUUCUUUUUUCAUUCUAAAUUAAUCGUUUCCUUCUUCCAUCUAAUACGGUUUUACAUUUUCACUCGUUAGAUUUGUCUUGUUUCUAUUUUUGAAUUAUUUAUUAAAAUUUCCUUGCAAACUUCACUGCUAAUAUAAUUUAAAUAUGUGUGUUAUUUUAUUUUGAUUUAAAAUUCAAAUAACAUUUUCUUUUUAUUUGUUUUAGAUCUUUCUACGAAAUUCAUUGACUUAAAAUUUUAAUUUGUUAUAAAAAAUCAUUGGUUUAAUUGGCUUUUAGUUUUACAUAUUUUUCAUUUAUCUCUGACCCUUCCGCUGGAGAGCAUUUUUACCAUGUCAGUUUAUUUUUGUUUUAAUUUGUUUUAUUAUUUCGUUGUUUUCAUGGUAGUUUUUUGCCUACAUGCUAUCCUUUAAAUUUACCAGAAAUUUUCAACAUAAAUUAAUCGUUUUUUUUUUCUAAAACACCAAUUUAUUUAAGUUUUGAGUAAAUGUUUUCUUAAAAUAUUUUUGAUAUAAAAUUGCUCUUAAUUAUUUUUUUAUACCAAAAUCUGUAUUUUAACAAUUAAAAGUUUGAAAUAACAUUCAACAAGAAUUUUUUUAAGAAUCGUUUAAAUUUAUUAAUAUUACUUUCGAAAUUGAUUAAAAGUGUUUGUUUCUUUAAUCUUUCUUAAAUUCAAACACAAAAAUUUCUAAAAGGUUAUAUCUGUUUUAACGUUCGUUUUAAAGUAAAUAUUAUACUAUGCGUCAAUUUUAUAAUUUCAAUUUUGAAAAAUUUCAUCAUGAUUAAAUUUUUCUUCACUAUAAACCAAUAAUUUUUUUGUCAAAAAUUUAGUUUAGAACAUAUAUAAUUUGAAUAUUGCUUCGAUUAAAAUUAUGAUUACUGAGGAAAAAUUCAGGAAUAUCAUUUAUUAAGCAAAAUGCCUGAUUGAACAAUAUCUACCUCACUCUUUUUAUGUUCUUAUGGCUUGAGUUAGUCAUGUAAGACCCAUUUUAGUUUUAAGACUAUAGAUGUAACAG